AGCUUUGCACAGUGGCAGUAUUGUAGCCAAUGAGGUUUAUCUGAGGCGCAAUUAUUGCUAAUUGAAAACUUUUCCCAAUACCCCACUAUGAUGACUUGAAAUAUAGUUGGCAUUGGCAAUUUUUGACAGUCUCUACAGAGA
ensembl:snRNA U4 U4 spliceosomal RNA